rnacentral:rRNA from 1 species
ACGCACGCUGGCGGCGUGCUUCACCCCUGCAAGUCGCACGGAAAGGCCCUGCUUUUGUGGGGUGCUCGAGUGGCGAACGGGUGAGUAACACGUGAGUAACCUGCCCUUGACUUUGGGAUAACUUCAGGAAACUGGGGCUAAUACCGGAUAGGAGCUCCUGCUGCAUGGUGGGGGUUGGAAAGUUUCGGCGGUUGGGGAUGGACUCGCGGCUUAUCAGCUUGUUGGUGGGGUAGUGGCUUACCAAGGCUUUGACGGGUAGCCGGCCUGAGAGGGUGACCGGCCACAUUGGGACUGAGAUACGGCCCAGACUCCUACGGGAGGCAGCAGGGGGGAAUAUUGCACAAUGGGCGGAAGCCUGAUGCAGCAACGCCGCGUGCGGGAUGACGGCCUUCGGGUUGUAAACCGCUUUCGCCUGUGACGAAGCGUGAGUGACGGUAAUGGGUAAAGAAGCACCGGCUAACUACGUG